GUAGUCAUAUGCUUGUCUCAAAGAUUAAGCCAUGCAUGCCUAAGUAUAAGCAAUUAUACCGCGAAACUGCGAAUGGCUCAUUAUAUAAGUUAUCGUUUAUUUGAUAGUACCUUACUACUUGGAUAACCGUGGUAAUUCUAGAGCUAAUACAUGCUAAAAAUCCCGACUUCGGAAGGGAUGUAUUUAUUAGAUUAAAAACCAAUGCCCUUCGGGGCUCUCUGGUGAUUCAUGAUAACUUCUCGAAUCGCAUGGCCUUGUGCCGGCGAUGGUUCAUUCAAAUUUCUUCCCUAUCAACUUUCGAUGUUUGGGUAUUGGCCAAACAUGGUUGCAACGGGUAACGGGGAAUA
rnacentral:rRNA from 1 species